UACGGAGGGUGCAAGCGUUAUCCGGAUUCACUGGGCUUAAAGGGUGCGUAGGCGGGCAGGUAAGUCAGUGGUGAAAUCUCCAAGCUUAACUUGGAAACUGCCGUUGAUACUAUCUGUCUUGAAUAUUGUGGAGGUGAGCGGAAUAUGUCAUGUAGCGGUGAAAUGCUUAGAUAUGACAUAGAACACCCAUUGCGAAGGCAGCUCGCUACACAUAUAUUGACUCUGAGGCACGAAAGCGUGGGGAUCAAACAGG
rnacentral:rRNA from 1 species